rnacentral:rRNA from 1 species
UACAGAGGGCUCAAGCGUUAAUCGGAAUCACUUGGGCUUAAAGGGUCGCAGGCGGAUUGGAAAGUAUCUUGUGAAAUUACCACGGCUCAACCGUGGAAACUGCUCGGUAAACUUCCAAUCUUGAACACGGUAGGGCCAUCGGAACUCUAGGUGGAGCGGUGAAAUGCGUAGAUAUCUAGAGGAACGCCAGAGGCGAAGGCGGAUGGCUGGGCCGUUGUUGACGCUCAGGGACGAAAGCAUGGGUAGCGAACGGGGAUUAGAUACCCGGGUAGUCC